rfam:Erinaceus europaeus unplaced genomic scaffold scaffold00518, whole genome shotgun sequence
GGAUCUGAAAGCGGUCUGGCUCUGACAUCUGUCACCCCAGUGAUUCCCAGGGUUGAUUCAGCUGAUCUGGCUGGCUAGACUGGUGUCCCCUUCCUCCCUCACCACUCCAUGUGUGUCCCUCCCAAAGCUGCAAAGAGGAUUACCUUCCUUGAAUAUGGGUGGGCUUGUCUUUGGUCGAGGGCAUAACAGUAGCUGAGCACCCCUGCUAGAACUUCCAAACAAGCUCUCAAGGUCCUAAAUUGGAUGUGGGAAUCUAGGAAUUACUUCUUCUUCUAUCAUUUGCCCUUCUUCCUUAGCCAGU